rnacentral:rRNA from 1 species
GAUGAACGCUGGCGGCGUGCCUAAUACAUGCAAGUCGAGCGAACGGACGAGAAGCUUGCUUCUCUGAUGUUAGCGGCGGACGGGUGAGUAACACGUGGAUAACCUACCUAUAAGACUGGGAUAACUUCGGGAAACCGGAGCUAAUACCGGAUAAUAUUUUGAACCGCAUGGUUCAAAAGUGAAAGACGGUCUUGCUGUCACUUAUAGAUGGAUCCGCGCUGCAUUAGCUAGUUGGUAAGGUAACGGCUUACCAAGGCAACGAUGCAUAGCCGACCUGAGAGGGUGAUCGGCCACACUGGAACUGAGACACGGUCCAGACUCCUACGGGAGGCAGCAGUAGGGAAUCUUCCGCAAUGGGCGAAAGCCUGACGGAGCAACGCCGCGUGAGAGAUGAAGGUCUUCGGAUCGUAAAACUCUGUUAUUAGGGAAGAGCAUAUGUGUAAGUAACUGUGCACAUCUUGACGGUACCUAAUCAGAAAGCCACGGCUAACUACGUG